rnacentral:rRNA from 1 species
UACGGAGGGGACUAGCGUUGUUCGGAAUUGAUACGUGGGCGUAAAGGGCUCGUCAGGUAGGCCAACUAAGUCGAGACGUGAAAUUCCCUCAGCUUAACUGGGGAAACUGCGUUCUAGAGUACUGGAUAGGCUUGAGUUUGGGAGGAGGAUGCGGAAUUCCAGGUGUAGCGGUGAAAUGCGUUAGAUAUCUGGAGGAACACCGGUGGCGCAAAGGUCGGCAAUCCUGGACCAACACGUGACACUGAUGAGCGAAAGCCAGGGGA